rnacentral:rRNA from 1 species
GACAGAGGAGGCGAGCGUUAUCCGGAAUUAUUGGGCGGAAAGCGUCCGUAGGUGGUUUGGCAAGUCUGGGGUUAAAGCCCGGAGCCUAACUCCGGAUCGGCCCUGGAAACUGCCAGACUAGAGUAAGGUAGGGGUUGCGGGAAUUCCCGGUGUAGCGGUGAAAUGCGUAGAUAUCGGGAAGAACACCAGUGGCGAAAGCGCGCAUCUGGGCCAUUUCUGACACUGAGGGACUAAAGCUAGGGGAGCGCAUGGG